rnacentral:lncRNA from 1 species
GCCCACGCCAUGGCGCCCUAGGAGAACGCGGGGACAGAACUCUUGCUGCAGAGUUUCGAGCGCCGCUUCCUGGCGGCGCGCUCACUGCGCUCCUUCCCCUGGCAGAGCUUAGAAGCAAAGUUAAGAGACUCAUCAGAUUCUGAGCUGCGGCGGGAUAUUUUGCAGAAGACUGUGAAGCAUCCUGUGUGUGUGAAGCACCCGCCGUCAGUCAAGUAUGCCCGGUGCUUUCUCUCAGAACUCAUGAAAAAGGCCAGGCCAGGAUCAGAUGGGAAGUGGAAGCUUGUCAUGACCAGAAACUGUUUCCCUACAAAGAGCACUUGGAGAUGGCAAUGCUGAACCUAAUACUGUAGGACUCACACGCGACUUCAACGGGAUUGUGAGGAUCAAGUCACUCUCAUGGGAAGAAUUUUUACAUGGGAAAGCGGAUAAAACUUUCAUUGGACUGGAAUGUUUGGAGAAUAUUAAUUUCCAAAUCAGGAACCACAAACUGCCCUCUAAUAAGACAUCGGCUAUCUAAGCGUGUGGGUGCCCCCUUUCUGCCAGCAGUUCUGGUUCUUAAGAAAAUCACCAUAAAUCAGACAUGAAAAUUCUGGCUCUAAAAAUAGCAUUUUCUUUGUGCAAAUAAAAACGUGUGUAUCAAGUAUGAUGUUCCCCCAACGUGGACACACCCGGUUCCUCACAAAGCCAAGCCCGCUGCAGCUGCCACAUCCCUGGGCUUACUGUGCAGCAGGUGCUUUUUUCAAGACAGGAAUCAAAAUAUUAGGAACACGGCAGAAAGGCGACACCUGGAGACCAAACGCAGGAUGAGGAGUACUGCAGAGGUCACAGGGAAGUCACAGAACAGUAGUACGCUAGCAGGGGCAUGGGGCGUGAAGAACAGAAGAAGAGAGGAAGUGUUUCCAAGCCUCCAAAAAAGAAAUCAGAGCCAACCACAGCUUCCCGGGUCACAGAAGCAAUUCACUCACCAGGCGGCACCACUGCCGUCAUUUCAGCUUCUGGCCACUGGGAGGCGCUGCUUGAAAGGGUUUGCCCUGAGACUCCAAGAAGAAGCUGCGGGAAGGACAGCAGGGGCCCUGGGGUUUUAGCCUCUGGCCCAGGAGUUAUGUGUCCAUAACCAAAGGGAGCACAGUCUGCACCCAGCUCUCAUCCCAUCGGAGCUGCUGCGACUCCCGCAGGUUCUUCCGGAACAGGUUUAGCUUGCCUGCAGGAUCAGGAAAGUUUGAGAAAAGCAUCUGCAUAAUACUAAAGAGCAGAGCUUACCUCAUUGCCUGUCCCCACCGCAUCCCAGGUCACCACCUGGCUGACCCCAGGUGCCCGACCCAACAACAACCCCUACCAAGUUCUUAACUCCCUCACUUGGACUCGAGACUCUUCACGCCCCAGCAGCGCUCCGCCUCCAACUUGACAUCACGCUUUCUGGGAACUUCCCCGCAUGUCCCACUUUCCCACACUUGGUGUCCUGGGGCACCUCCCGGCCUCUUCAUGCUGUAUGCUCCCCUGCGAGCACCCUCCUCUUGGCCUCUGGCCAAGUCCCACCCAUCUGUGGGUAACAAGGGGGUGUCGGUGUUCUUUUCAGCCUUGCUAAACUGUCUGAAUCAAGGAUCACAAACUACAGCCUGCAGGCCAAAUCCAGCCCACAGCCUGUGUUUGUAAAUAAAGAUUUAUUGGAACAAAGCCACACCCCUUAAUCUACAGAUGAUCUGUGGCUACUUUCACACCCCAACAGAGUACCAUGGUUCUGACAGAGACUAGGGGACCCAGUCUAAAUGACUUCCGACUUGGACCUUUACUGAAAAUCCUGCCAGUCAUUCUGUUGGCAAGAACGAUGUAUUACUUUUUGCAAUAAGAAACAAGUAACAUUU